GCCCAGCCUCUCUUUCCUUGUAACCUACCCAAAGUAUGGUCAACGUUUAGGAAUGCACUCAAGAUAGUACGCAUAAGAUCGAGUCCAUUCAACUAUUUGUACGAGAAAUCCCCAUUGCAUGUGUACUAAUGAGCUGACGUCCUGGUCUCUGUUCCUCAUUUAAUGUAGUUUCCUCAUUAUGGAAGUGGAAGCAACUUGUUCUCGAAGAAGGC
rnacentral:lncRNA from 1 species